rnacentral:rRNA from 1 species
GACGAACGCUGGCGGCGUGCCUAAUACAUGCAAGUAGAACGCUGAAGAGAGGAGCUUGCUCUUCUUGGAUGAGUUGCGAACGGGUGAGUAACGCGUAGGUAACCUGCCUUGUAGCGGGGGAUAACUAUUGGAAACGAUAGCUAAUACCGCAUAACAAUGGAUGACACAUGUCAUUUAUUUGAAAGGGGCAAUUGCUCCACUACAAGAUGGACCUGCGUUGUAUUAGCUAGUAGGUGAGGUAACGGCUCACCUAGGCGACGAUACAUAGCCGACCUGAGAGGGUGGUCGGCCACACUGGGACUGAGACACGGCCCAGACUCCUACGGGAGGCAGCAGGAGGGAAUCUUCGGCAAUGGGGGCAACCCUGACCGAGCAACGCCGCGUGAGUGAAGAAGGUUUUCGGAUCGUAAAGCUCUGUUGUAAGUCAAGAACGAGUGUGAGAGUGGAAAGUUCACACUGUGACGGUAGCUUACCAGAAAGGGACGGCUAACUACGUG